rnacentral:rRNA from 1 species
GACCGUAGCAUCGGACAGCAGAGGUGCUGCAUGGCUGUCGUCAGCUCGUGUCGUGAGAUGUUGGGUUAAGUCCCGCAACGAGCGCAACCCUUGCCCUUAGUUGCCAGCGGGUAAUGCCGGGCACUCUAAGGGGACUGCCCCGGAUAACGGGAGGAAGGCGGGGAUGACGUCAAGUCAGCAUGGCCUUUAUGUCCAGGGCUACACACGUGCUACAAUGGGCGGUACAGAGGGAAGCAAAGCCGCGAGGUGGAGCUAAUCCUUAAAGCCGUCCUCAGUUCGGACCGCAGGCUGCAACUCGCCUGCGUGAAGUCGGAAUCGCUAGUAAUCGCGGAUCAGCUACGCCGCGGUGAAUACGUUCUCGGGCCUU